rnacentral:misc_RNA from 1 species
AUAUGGUAAUUACUGGAGAGAGAUUCGGAAAAUAUGUGUUCUUGAGCUUUUUGGCACAAAAAGGGUGCAGUCGUUUCGGUUCAUUAGGGAAGAAGAAGUUGCUUUGUUGAUUGAUUCAAUCUUUCAGUUUUCAACUUCUGCAACUCCUGUUGAUCUUACUGAGAAGUUUGUAACACUUUCUGCAAAUAUAACAUUUAGGAUGGCUUUUGGAACAAACUUUGGAGCAACUGAUUUUGAAAAGGAUAGAUUCAAAAAAUUAAUUGAUGAUGCCCAGGCCUUGUUGGGAAGCUUCUCUGCAAAUGAAUACUUUCCACAUGUAGGUUGGAUUAUCGACAAGGUUUCUGGUUAUCAUACAAAGACAGAAAGAGUUUUCCAUGAGCUGGAUAAUUUCUUCCGAUGGGUAAUUGAUGAUCAUAGUAAACAUGGAAAUGGGAGGACAGACAAUGGACAGGAAGACAUUGUUGAUGUGCUACUAAGAAUGGAGAAGGAGCAAACUGGAGUUGGUUCAAUUCAGCUGACAAAAGAUCACAUUAAGGCAGUUCUCAUGGACCUAUUUUUGGCUGGAGUAAACACCAGUGCAGUUACCCUGAUCUGGGCUAUGUCAGAGAUCGCUAGGAAUCCAAGAGUGAUGAAGAAAGCACAAGAAGAAGUUAGAAAUGUUAUAGGAAAUAGAGAAAGAGUCACAGAAGGUGACAUUGAUGAGCUUCCUUACCUUCACAUGGUAAUAAAAGAAACUCUGAGAUUGCACCCUCCUGCCCCAUUGCUACUUCCAAGAGAAGCCAUGUCGAAUUUUAAAAUCGAUGGUUAUGAAAUUUAUCCCAAAACGCUGAUCCAAAUCAAUAUUUGGGCAAUUGGAAGAGAUCCUAACUACUGGAAGGACCCAGAAGAAUUCUUUCCUGAAAGGUUUGUGGAUAGUUCCAUUGAAUUUACAGGACAAAAUUUUGAGUUUUUGCCAUUUGG